UCCAAUUGAAGUCAUAUUUUGAAAUCGGCAAAGACACACAUUGCAAAGCUCAAACCCUUCCAUUUCCAUUUGAAGCAGUAGUAGCAGUUGCGCCUGUGAUUUGCAAAGUGUGAAUUCAUGGACCAUGUCACCGUGUGCGAAGUGCGAAAUCAGAAAGUGUGACUCCGAGUCUCCGAGGCCCGAGCAAGCAACCUGCAGUUUAGUGUGGGCUAUUGGAAGUUGACAAAGCAGCUGAAUUGGAAAGACAUGAAGGAGCUGGUUAAAGAAUCAGCAAUACAAGCAACAAUUGAAAGAUGCUCACACAAUUGACAGCCAACUUGGAAUAACAGAAUGAGAAUUCUCUAGAAGAAGGAAAAGGAAUUUUGUAAAUUAGUUACCUUUCUGUUGUGAGAACGUGUAUGUAAAUUAUUUCUUUUAGAAUAGCCUAUUGUGUGUAUAUAUACUUUGCUUUUCUGUACAGUCUCAACAAGCAGAAAAAUCAAUACAAUUCUUUGCUUUAUUUCUGCCUC